rnacentral:lncRNA from 1 species
CUCUCAUAUGGUGUUGGGUAGCUGUGACAGGGCUCGAGCCCAGCUCCUACCUGGUCACCAUCAAGAGGAACUCUGAACCUCCAGAAGACUGCGAUGCCAGGCUAGGAUGUUCUGCAGGUUGGCCUUACCAGAUGCAUCUUCAAUUUGCAAUAUAUCAAACUUACAGUGGGUUUUUCUGGACCCAACCCCACAGUGUGCUGAGGGGAGCCAUAGUGGUGACAGCCGAACUCACAGAAGGGAGCAGGGUGGCUGUUGAUGUUCCUGUUGGUACUACUCCUGCUGCUGCAACUCCUACUCCUGUCACUUGGGAAAGCCAUCCUCCUCUGCACAAGGUCUAUGGGAAUGGACCACCCAUAGUACACAAGAAGACAUGAAGUCUAAAGAGAAGAAUGAUGUGUCCAAAGUCACCCCAUAGGAGGCUGCAGGUCCUCAUCUAGUGUCUCUCCCUGCCCCGCUGUGGCUCCCAGAUGUUCCUUACCUGUGGGGUGUAGCCUUCCACAUUAUACGGCUUCCCGUACCUCGUGUGCAGGGUGGAGUGGGGGGAGCGCCCACCAGCGUGGUUCCUGUGAUCCAGACCAGGCCCUCCAAACUGUUGGUGAACAAAUUUAUCCUGUGAGGUGGACAUGGCGAUGGUGACAUGGUGAGGACUUUGUGCCGCAGCCCCUACUGGGUGAAAGCAGAAACCCUGUGGCUCUCCACACACGGCCCUUGGUGUCUGGCUCCAGCCAGCUUCCCAGCCUCACCACGGCCCACUCUUGACUCACCACACACCCUAGGCCCUAGCUGCUCGUUUCCCUCAGUUCCUCCUGCUGCUCUGCUCCUCCUAGGGUGAGGGCCUCCCCAGGUCUACUUGCACCCCACUGCUGACUGCAAGUUUGGCUGUUGCUCUUCUGUGGCUGUGUGACCUCUGAGCUCACUUAGAUAUUCAGGCUCUUGGUUUCCUUAUCUGGGAGGUAGAGAUCAUAAUAACUAGCUCAUAAGGUGGUUCUGAGAAAGCCCUUCUACCUAUGCAAAGAGUCUUUCUCUGAGAUCUGCAGUUCCAUUAGAGUGGAGGUGAACUCCAUUCAGGGUCACUGUUCUCCUCUCCAGGCUUCAUAACUUGGUGAUGAUAAGUUUUCUUCACAGUGUUAGGGAUUGAAUCCAAAGCCUUCCCACAGAGCUAC